ACUGAACGCCGGCGGCAGGCUUAACACAUGCAAGUCGAGCGGGGUGAUGGUGCUUGCACUAUCACUUAGCGGCGGACGGGUGAGUAAUGCUUAGGAAUCCGCCUAUUAGUGGGGGACAACAUCUCGAAAGGGAUGCUAAUACCGCAUACGUCCUACGGGAGAAAGCAGGGGAUCACUUGUGACCUUGCGCUAAUAGAUGAGCCUAAGUCGGAUUAGCUAGUUGGUGGGGUAAAGGCCUACCAAGGCGACGAUCUGUAGCGGGUCUGAGAGGAUGAUCCGCCACACUGGGACUGAGACACGGCCCAGACUCCUACGGGAGGCAGCAGUGGGGAAUAUUGGACAAUGGGGGGAACCCUGAUCCAGCCAUGCCGCGUGUGUGAAGAAGGCCUUAUGGUUGUAAAGCACUUUAAGCGAGGAGGAGGCUCUUUUGGUUAAUACCCAAGAUGAGUGGACGUUACUCGCAGAAUAAGCACCGGCUAACUCUGUGCCAGCCGCCGCCGUAA
rnacentral:rRNA from 1 species